UCUGGUAUUUAACUGAGAUGGGAAUUCUUUUUUCUUGUGAGGUAUUUAAUUUUGGAGUUAUCUGAGUAGUCGUUAUGUGAUGGGAUUCGAAAACGCUUCGAUUUUGAAGCUGAAUUUCCCUUAAUUGUGUCCCAGUUUUGCUUUCUAUGGGCUCUAGAAUUUGUGAUUUUGAAUGCAGCUUUUGGAUCCUCUUUUUAGUAUUUUAAUUUGUUGUUGUUCAGACAAGGAGAACCUGUGUCUUUACUGACAUCCGAAUGAGGCAUGGGAGGUAGCUUUACCGGCCGAGGAAGUUCCACCUGACCUGAGCUCCCUGAGCCGGCAUUGGGCAUAAAUUUUGCAAGAGAUGGGAUAAACGGUAAAGACUGGCUUUCGCUGGUUGCGGUGCAUAGUGAUUGUUGGUUGCUCUCGGUGGCUUUCUACUUUGGAGCUCGACUUAAUCGGAAUGAGAGGUACAAUAUUAUGACAUCUCUCUUUUCUUCACAUGUACCCUAGAUUUUACAGGUGUUCAUCGAAAUUGUCUUUAUGAUCGUCUCUUCCCUAAAAGGUUAUGUCUUAUUGGGAAUGAUAUAUGAAUGCCCAUGACUUGAUCUAAAACAAAAAAAAAGGAGAAAAAAACAAGAAAGGAGGCUGAUUGAGCAGAGUCUGAAAUUCAAUAAACUCUUGGUAUACUGAUGUGGAUGUUGGAAUGCUUGACUAUGUUACUCAAACUUGGGUGUAAAUACUGAUGUGAACGGUGGUACAACUGUCCUUCGUGUCAAAACAAGGUAUGGCAAUAGCCGUCAAUGGAGGGGUUAACCCUGAUCGAUUUAUUCGAUUUAUUCACUGAUGUUGUUGUAAAGCAGCCAUGGCGAACGAAUGCACAAUUCUGUUGUUACUGCCUACUGGUCUCUCAUUCCUUGGAUCGCAAGUCGAACACAUUGGUUCUUUAGGUAUGUUAAUAAUGAGUAGUGGCAUACAAAUGGAUGAGGCAUAGGCUUUAUAAUCAUGUUCGAUUUUCUUGUUUCAGAAUCGAGUGGGAUAUUUAGUUGCUCCAAGUUCGAAUGGCUGAUCCAAUACCAAUACCCGAUCGACUAGGUUUUAUGUACAACAGAGGCAUCUAUCAUGUAUGGUUAAAUACCUUUUUCUUUUCCCCUAAUGAAAUUUCCCAUUUCCUUU